rnacentral:rRNA from 1 species
UACGUAGGGGGCGAGCGUUGUUCGGAUUUACUGGGCGUAAAGGGCGCGUAGGCGGUCAGCACAAGUCAGUUGUGAAAUCUCCGGGCUUAACUCGGAAAGGUCAACUGAUACUGUGCGACUAGAGUGCAGAAGGGGCAACUGGAAUUCUCGGUGUAGCGGUGAAAUGCGUAGAUAUCGAGAGGAACACCUGCGGCGAAGGCGGGUUGCUGGGCUGACACUGACGCUGAGGCGCGAAAGCCAGGGGAGCGAACGGG